UACGUAGGGGGCAAGCGUUGUCCGGAAUUACUGGGCGUAAAGAGCUCGUAGGUGGUUUGUCGCGUUGUUCGUGAAAACUCACAGCUCAACUGUGGGCGUGCGGGCGAUACGGGCAGACUGGAGUACUGCAGGGGAGACUGGAAUUCCUGGUGUAGCGGUGAAAUGCGCAGAUAUCAGGAGGAACACCGGUGGCGAAGGCGGUCCUCUGGGCCUUACCUGACACUGAGGAGCGAAAGCGUGGGGAGCGAACAGG
rnacentral:rRNA from 1 species